ensembl:snRNA RNU6-957P RNA, U6 small nuclear 957, pseudogene
GUUGCUUAUUUUGGCAGCACUAAAAUUGGAAUGAUACAGAGAUUAGCAUGGCCCCUGUGCAAAGAUGACAUGCAAAUUUGUGAAGAGUUCCAUAUUUAA